ACUGAUUUAGCUUUCUUGCAGUAGCUGUUGACCAAACCACAAGGAAGCAAAGGAAAAGUAGAGAUGAGUCAUAUACAUAGGUACAUGAUCUCUCUACACAACUCAAUUAAGGCCAAAGGAAAAGCAAAGAGAACAAAUACUGAGAACUGAACCUGAAUAUAUCUUAAACGAAAAUCCAUAUUGAUUUCAACCACCAUUUGUAAACAGAGAUAACAAAGUUGUCUCAUAAAAAUCCAAAUCUAACGAAUACAAGUUCAUUGGGUUCAAGUUUUCACUCAUAUUUCAGAUAUUAAGAUCUAAAAAACAAAAUCGCAAAUUGAAGUCACCCAAGAUCCAAUUUUUCUGCGAAUCGGAUAAAAAGUGAUUAAACAUGAGCAGAGAAAGAG